UCAUUUUAUAAGUAUGUUUCAUAACUUUGAAAGCUUUCAGUCUCCUUUCUUCCCUUCUAAACUUGAACUUGCAAAGGGACACUAUAUGUUGCAUUAGAAUUUAAAUGUACAUAUUAAGUUGUUGUUAAGCUAAAACUCAAGGUAUGGCAUAAAUAAUUAAGGGUGAAAAGAUAAAACAACAACAGCAACCAAACAUUUAUUCGACUAGGUAGAGUCGGAUACAUGGACGGAAUGAUAUGAUAAGGAGAAUAAAGAAGGGAGCUUACUAGGAAUAGAUGAGCAAUUAAUGGAGAGAGGGGUAUGACGCAAUGGGUGAUGAGUUGUUGGAAAGGUGAAAGUGGAAGGGAGGAAAUGUGAAGUUGAAGAGAAAGGGUGAUAAAUGAAUGUGAAGUUGAUGUGUUCUCAUUUCAUUCAAUCAUGUUAUUGCUUUCUCCAUUCACUCUUCAUUCAAAUCAAUUAUCUUUUAUCUUUUAUUCUACUUCACUCUUGAUUUAAUACUUGUCAACCUUAUUAUUGGGUAUUAUAAAAGCCUAUGUUUUCACAAAACAGAUUAAACUACUCCCUAUAUUUGAACUUUUUAUACUCCUUACGAGCAUGGAUAAUUUGAGUUGGAUAUUAUUUUCAUUUUAUUCUUCAAUCAACCAUUUACUGCAGUAUGAGCUAUGAGAUGAAAUUGGUGAAAACCCCCUUGACAAUGUGGAAGUACUUCAGGAUCAGCUUGAAUUUUUUCCUCAUCUCUGUAAAUUUCAGGUUCAUGCCUUUUCUAUGCUUCUAAGGAUCUUUGUAAAAGUCUCUUUUUCUUUUAAUAUAAUAAAUAUUUUUAAAAUAAUUAUCUUAGAUUUAACAUUUUUUAAUCCCCAAAAUCUCAGUAUGAAAGUUGUAGUUCAUAUUUGAUCAAGAUAAUGGAGCCCAUGAUACAAACCUAUAUGGUAUUCUUUAGUAGUUCUUUAUCAAACACUUCGAUUUUGUUAUCAAAUCACUGGUGGAUUUCAGCAUGCUUAUCCUUAUAUCCAAUGGUAAAAUCAUGUCAACAAGGUAGUUAAAGGAAAUUCAUUUGUUAGGGUCACCGAGUUCUGAUGCACAGAUAACCAAACAACAUGAACUGAGAAAUUGAGCAUGUGUUCAAUGGAACACAAGAAAACAAGAACAGACUCUCAUACAAUCAAUCACCUCAGACUCGGAGAAGCCAUUCUCAUUGCUUUCUCUAACUGAUUUUGCAGCUGAUGCGCCACCUAAAGCUUCUUCCACCAAACUAUCACUGGAUAGUGCAUAAAUAUCGAGUUUAGCAAAUAUUUGAAAGCUACAUUUUACUUCAAACAUUUUAUUUUAUCAGAGAAUAAACAGGUACCUGUCAAAAUAGUAAUAUUGUAAUACAUCAGCAAGCAACUUCCCCAAAUCGGUCUUAAGAGAGCUACCUAAACCUUUAUAACAUAAAAUAAACACAACAUGUUAAUGGGAUAGAGACACAUUAGGCCACAAACAUCCAAAAUCAACAAUUUCAAUGCAUUGCUAAUCUUACUGAUCAGAAAUAUGGAGGUUCCUUUAAGCUCAGGGGAAACAUGUGCUGCUUUCUUCUCAAUCAAAGCUUUAAAAUGAGUACUUUCAAGUUUAAACCACAAUAAAAUACUCAUUCACAUGAGGGGUGAUAAUAACAUGUGAAUCAUUCAAGAAGAAGGGAUUGAGAUUUGGAUGAGUAAAUGGUAAUUCAAUCCUGACCUUGACCGCAAGAGAUGAAUGAUCCUUAGUGAGUGAAGCAUUACUAGGAGGAAUAGAUGAGCAAUUAAUGGAGAGAGGGGUAUGAUGCAAUGGGUGAUGAGUUGAUGGAAAGGUGAAAGUGGAAGGGAGGAAAUGAUGAAGUUGAAGAGAAGGAGUGAUAAAUGAGUGUGAAGUUGAUGUGUUCUUCAUUUCAUUCAUGUGUUCUUCUUUGA
rnacentral:lncRNA from 1 species